GUCCACGCCGUAAACUUUGGGCACUUGGUGUUGCGGGUAUUGACCCCUGCAGUGCCGAAGCUAACGCAUUAAGUGCCCCGCCUGGGGAGUACGGUCGCAAGGCUAAAACUCAAAGGAAUUGACGGGGGCCCGCACAAGCGGUGGAGCAUGUGGUUCAAUUCGACGCAACGCGAAGAACCUUACCUGGGUUUGACAUCCCGAGAAUCCCGUAGAAAUAUGGGAGUGCCUUUCGGGGAACUCGGUGACAGGUGCUGCAUGGCUGUCGU
rnacentral:rRNA from 1 species